CUGGCGCACAGCACGGCCGCCCCGAUGUCGAAGUACAGCUGAGACUCACUUCGGAGGCCAAGAAACUGAUGGAAGCUGCAGACUCACGCUGCUGAUUUGUAACAGCACAGCCAGACCCCCAAACCCAAGUCCGCUCUGCUCUAACCAUGGAGACACAGAGCCCCCAGACAUGUCCUACUCUGUGCCACAGAACAUCCCUUCCAGAUGUCAUGGUCAGGAGCUGGAGCAAUAGCACAGUGGGGAGGACAUUCACUCUGCAUCAGCUGACCUGGGUUCGAUAUCUGGCAUCCCAAAUGGCCCUCCAAGCCUGCCAGGAGUGAUUCCUGAGCAGAGUUAGGAGUAACCCAAAUACCACUGGUCACAGCCCCAGAAAAAGCAAACAAACAGAAGUCAUGAUCAGAUCAGAGCAACAAGACAGUAGGUAGAGUGCUUGCCCCGCAUGUGGCUAACUAACCUGGGUUGGACCCCUGGUCCCCCAGUACUACGACACAUGAUUUCUGGGUGCAGAGCCAGGAGAAAGCCCUGAGCCCAGACAUGUGUGCCCCUUCACCCCCAGAAAAAGUCAUGAACUAUGAAUAGAUGUCUUUCUCAGAAAAGGAGCAGCAGGUAA